GUAGUUAGCCGGGGCUUCCUCCUUGGGUACCGUCACUUCUUCGUCCCCAAGGACAGAGGUUUACAAUCCGAAAACCUUCUUCCCUCACGCGGCGUUGCUGGGUCAGAGUUGCCUCCAUUGCCCAAUAUUCCCCACUGCUGCCUCCCGUAGGAGUCUGGACCGUUUCUCAGUUCCAGUGUGGCCGAUCACCCUCUCAGGUCGGCUACCCAUCGUUGGCUUGGUGGGCCGUUACCUCACCAACUACCUAAUGGGACGCGAGCCCCUCUACAAGCGAUAAAUCUUUUACCCCUGAGCCAUGCGGCUCUGUGGUCUUAUGCGGUAUUAGCACCCGUUUCCAGAUGUUGUCCCCCUCUUGUAGGCAGGUCGCUCACGCGUUACUCACCCGUCCGCCACUAACAUUUCGCAAGUGCAAGCACUUGCUGAUGUCCGUUCGACUUGCAUGUGUUAAGCACGCCGCCAGCGUUCGUCCUGAGCCAGAAUCGAACCCUGA
rnacentral:rRNA from 1 species